CCGGUAAACGGCGGCCGUAACUAUAACGGUCCUAAGGUAGCGAAAUUCCUUGUCGGGUAAGUUCCGACCUGCACGAAUGGCGUAAUGAUGGCCAGGCUGUCUCCACCCGAGACUCAGUGAAAUUGAACUCGCUGUGAAGAUGCAGUGUACCCGCGGCAAGACGGAAAGACCCCGUGAACCUUUACUAUAGCUUGACACUGAACAUUGAGCCUUGAUGUGUAGGAUAGGUGGGAGGCUUUGAAGUGUGGACGCCAGUCUGCAUGGAGCCGACCUUGAAAUACCACCCUUUAAUGUUUGAUGUUCUAACGUUGACCCGUAAUCCGGGUUGCGGACAGUGUCUGGUGGGUAGUUUGACUGGGGCGGUCUCCUCCUAAAGAGUAACGGAGGAGCACGAAGGUUGGCUAAUCCUGGUCGGACAUCAGGAGGUUAGUGCAAUGGCAUAAGCCAGCUUGACUGCGAGCGUGACGGCGCGAGCAGGUGCGAAAGCAGGUCAUAGUGAUCCGGUGGUUCUGAAUGGAAGGGCCAUCGCUCAACGGAUAAAAGGUACUCCGGGGAUAACAGGCUGAUACCGCCCAAGAGUUCAUAUCGACGGCGGUGUUUGGCACCUCGAUGUCGGCUCAUCACAUCCUGGGGCUGAAGUAGGUCCCAAGGGUAUGGCUGUUCGCCAUUUAAAGUGGUACGCGAGCUGGGUUUAGAACGUCGUGAGACAGUUCGGUCCCUAUCUGCCGUGGGCGCUGGAGAACUGAGGGGGGCUGCUCCUAGUACGAGAGGACCGGAGUGGACGCAUCACUGGUGUUCGGGUUGUCAUGCCAAUGGCACUGCCCGGUAGCUAAAUGCGGAAGAGAUAAGUGC
rnacentral:rRNA from 1 species